ACCAAUGUUUGGAGACUCAGAGGGACUGGAGACAACGCUCCUUGGACAAGCAGCAGGAGCUCCCAGGGAGACGCCAACUGCUCCAGUGGCUCCUGCACCGUUGGAUAGGAGGGGAUCUCCAUCUGGAGCUGCCGGCAGUGUGGGGACCACUCGUCUCCCAGUGCCCACCAGUACGAAGCUCCCAGAGCCCCCAGUAUGGACCAGCACGGUGUCGGCACCGCUGACAACCCUGCCUGGGCCAAUUUGUGGGAAGCUCAAGGCAGACGUUGGGUUCCUGGUGGAUGAAUCCUCGAGUAUCGGCCAGAGCAACUUCAAUAAAGUGAAGGAUU